GGUGCACGCUGAAGGAGCCGGCGGAACCGGGUGGCCAUGGGGAUGUGGGCAUCGCUGGACGCUUUGUGGGAGAUGCCGGCCGAGAAGCGUAUCUUCGGGGCCGUGCUGCUCUUUUCCUGGACAGUGUAUCUUUGGGAGACCUUCCUAGCACAGCGGCAGAGUCUAGCUCUGUCACCAGGCUGGAGUACAGUGGCGUUAUUUCGGCUCACUGCAAGAAACUAGGAGGGACGAGGGAGAGUCUGCAAGGGGAAGAGUGUGUCUGUGACACUGCCAGCAGCGCGCAGAGGGAGGGUUGUUCAAAUGAUUCUCCUGCCUCAGCAUCCCGAGUAGCUAGGAUUACAGAGAAGGAUAUAUAAAACAACAACUCAUGUACCACCGGAGUUAGGACAGAUCAUGGAUUCUGAAACAUUUGAGAAAUCUCGACUCUAUCAACUGGAUAAAAGCACUUUCAGCUUCUGGUCAGGACUCUAUUCAGAGAUUGAAGGCACUUUCCAGAGAAUUGUUGAACAACUUACAACACUACCUGAAGAAGUAAUACUCAAGAGUUCUUGUUCUAUACU
rnacentral:sRNA from 1 species